GGGAGAAAAGCUGCGACCUACCUCUGGAGACGAUGCGGACUCCGCGCUCCGCCAGCUCACGGGGCUCCAGCCCCAGGUCCUUGGAGAUGUUGCCCACGACAGUGCCUUUGUCUGUCUCCUCUGGCACGGAGUAGCGAAUCUGUCCUACCCCGAUCUUGCACAGCGUCCCCAUCAGCGUACACAGCAGCACCAGCCGGCCAUGCCUGUGUUGAUUCUUGGAAGCAGCCAUUGUUCAUUUGCAAAAGAAUCCUCUCAGUCGUCACUGGGCAUAGGUGGCUGGAUUACCUUCGCUUGUGGCGAUGGAAAUAAUCUUACGGAAAGCUGGAGAGUCACACAUUUAGGGACAGAAUGUCUCCGCAGUUCCGCAGUUGGACUCCGGAAUCUGCCGGUCUGAUUUCAUCAGCGUUGAGAAUUCGAUGGGGUUUCGGGUGCAUCUCUCUCCCAGGUAAAGAUUCAUUUUGUCUUCUAUCAAGAUGUUAAAGCUCACGAGACAUCGCGGGCUCUGAGCGCACAGCUCCUCCCGGUCUAUCCUGCCCGCGGUGACCAGGCUGCCGCUCCGCGGGUUCAGAGAGAAAAGCUGGGUCUUACCUUUGGUGAUGAUGCGGACCCUGCGCUCCGCCAGUUCCCGAGGCUGCAGUCCCAGAUCCUUGGUGAUAUUUCCCACAAAAGAUCCCUUGUCUGUCUCUUCAGACACGGAGUAAAGAAUCUGUCCUGCCCAGGCUUCCCACCGCGUCCCCAGGAGAAUGGAGAGCAGCACAAAUCCUCUGUAGUGCGAGCCCCAGCCUCUCUGUCCAGGCGCCAUUGCUGCCCUGCGGAUCUCGCUCACACCCUGAGAGGUCUUGGAAGGUGCCUCAGAACCUAGUUGUGUCCUUCAGGACCCCAGUGUGCGGAAGGGAAGCCGGGAAUCCAGCCAUUCGCUUUAGUUUGAUGCAGCUUGGUGGAGGGCUUGCUUGUCUCAGUCUGUCCUCUCUUUGUGCUGUAAACUCGGUGGUUCUGUCUCAGCUCCGCCACCACCAUCUCAUGGUUGGUGAACAGCGGCGCGCAGAGUCCUUACUAAGUUACUGCACCAUCUUGAAGCAAAAUAAACUGAUUUUUGCAGAAAGAUGUUUAAUUCUUCAAAUUUCUGUUUGCUUAAAUUUCUUCAUCCCAGACCCCACAGAUAUACUUUAAAGAUACAUUUUAAGGUAUUGACUAGCUGAUAAACCAAAAUACAUUUAAAAAAUAUCUUUCAGGAAGCAACGCUGAGGUUAUGUUCUUGAGCACAAAUUCACAUUUUAAUUAGAGAAAAUUAAGCCUUGUCAGGCAAACAUGUAAAAGUUAUUUAAAUCUCUAUUGUAAAACUCUACUGCAAAUAUAUUCCUAUGCAUUAUUUUGCAUUCUCUGUAACAUUUUCUGUUGAUGAAUCAUUUAUUUGGAGUUCUGUUUAGUUUAUUUCUUAUAAAAAAUGUAGGUAUUUACACUGAC
rnacentral:lncRNA from 1 species